GAUGAACGCUAGCGGCAGGCUUAAUACAUGCAAGUCGAGGGGUAGCAAGAUUGCAGCAAUACAAUUGUUGACGACCGGCAAACGGGUGCGGAACACGUACACAACCUUCCUACAAGUGGGGAAUAGCCCAGAGAAAUUUGGAUUAAUACCCCGUAACAUAGCGAUGUGGCAUCACAUUGCUAUUAUAGCUUCGGCGCUUGUUGAUGGGUGUGCGGCUGAUUAGCUAGUUGGCGGGGUAACGGCCCACCAAGUCUACGAUCAGUAGCUGAUGUGAGGGCAUGAUCAGCCACACGGGCACUGAAACACGGGCCCGACUCCUACGGGAGGCAGCAGUAAGGAAUAUGGGACAAUGGACGCAAGUCUGAUCCAGCCAUGCCGCGUGAAGGAUUAAGGUCCUCUGGAUUGUAAACUUCUUUUAUAAGGGACGAAAAAAGGUCUUUCUAGAUCGUCUGACGGUACCUUAUGAAUAAGCACCGGCUAACUCCGUGCCAGCAGCCGCCGUAAAAC
rnacentral:rRNA from 1 species